rnacentral:rRNA from 1 species
UACGUAGGGGGCAAGCGUUGUCCGGAAUUAUUGGGCGUAAAGAGCUCGUAGGCGGUUCGGCAAGUCGGAUGUGAAAUCUCCACGCUUAACGUGGAGGGGCCAUUCGAAACUGCCGUGACUCGAGUCCGGUAGGGGAGUGCGGAAUUCCCGGUGUAGCGGUGAAAUGCGCAGAUAUCGGGAGGAACACCAGUGGCGAAGGCGGCUCACUGGACCGGUACUGACGCUGAUGCGCGAAAGCGUGGGGAGCAACGGG